rnacentral:rRNA from 1 species
UUGUUGGUAAGGUAAAGGCUUACCAAGGCUUCGAUCAGUAGCUGGUCUGAGAGGACGGCCAGCCACACUGGGACUGAGACACGGCCCAGACUCCUACGGGAGGCAGCAGUGGGGAAUUUUGGACAAUGGGGGAAACCCUGAUCCAGCCAUGCCGCGUGAGUGAAGAAGGCUUUCGGGUUGUAAAGCUCUUUCAGCCGGAACGAAACGGUUACGGAUAAUACCCGUGACUACUGACGGUACCGGAAGAAGAAGCACCGGCUAACUACGUGCCAGCAGCCGCGGUAAUACGUAGGGUGCGAGCGUUAAUCGGAAUUACUGGGCGUAAAGCGUGCGCAGGUGGUUUUGUAAGUCAGAUGUGAAAGCCCCGGGCUCAACCUGGGAACUGCGUUUGAAACUACAAGACUAGAGUGUGGCAGAGGGGGGUGGAAUUCCGCGUGUAGCAGUGAAAUGCGUAGAGAUGUGGAGGAACACCGAUGGCGAAGGCAGCCCCCUGGGUUAACACUGACACUCAGGCACGAAAGCAUGGGGAGCAAACAGGAUUAGAUACCCUGGUAGUCCAUGCCCUAAACGAUGUCAACUAGUUGUCGGGCCUUUACGGGCUUGGUAACGUAGCUAACGCGUGAAGUUGACCGCCUGGGGAGUACGAUCGCAAGAUUAAAACUCAAAUGAAUUGACGGGGACCCGCACAAGCGGUGGAUUAUGUGGAUUAAUUCGAUGCAACGCGAAAAACCUUACCUACCCUUGACAUGUAUCGAAGCCCGCAGAAAAGCGGGGGUGCCCGAAAGGGAACGAUAACACAGGUGCUGCAUGGCUGUCGUCAGCUCGUGUCGUGAGAUGUUGGGUUAAGUCCCGCAACGAGCGCAACCCUUGUCAUUAAUUGCCAUCAUUUAGUUGGGCACUUUAAUGAGACUGCCGG